GGGGAUUUCGAUUACCUCAUCAUUGAAAGCGGUUAAGGCGUAGUUUGCCACCUCGCCUUUCUUGAUUUUCUCCUCGUCUUCGGAGAAGCUCGAUUCAUCCCACUUUAUGUUCUUCUUCUUUGGCUUCUUCCUUCGUUCAAGUUUAUUGUUUAUUUUAGAUUUUUGUUUAAUAAACUUAUUAAGAUUUAGUGUUCGAAGUUCAAGUUCAUCAUUGUCCUCAUCACUUGAUUCAUCGCUCAAGUGGUAUU
rnacentral:lncRNA from 1 species